rnacentral:sRNA from 1 species
CCCUAGCCCCGAUUGUAAUGAAAAGCUUUUUGUAAAAGCCGUUUCAGUUUUUCUUGUUUAUAAAAAGCGACCAGAGGAAGCUCUUUUAUAAACUUUAGAAAAACAAACGGCGAUGCAAAAACUUGCAAUGAAAAGCGGGAAAUGGC